UAAAUAUACCAUAAUUCUGGCCGUAGAAAAUUUCAUGGAUUUUUUCUCUCAGGCUCGCUGGUUUUGGAGGUGGGAGCGUUGUCCCGCUUAAAUGGCAAUCCACAGUUUGAGAGGAGUAUGCGCAGUACUAGUGAACUGAACUUACUGGGAACGAACCUUGACAUAACUGAAGAUUUGUUCGAUUGCAUAUUCUGGAACGCAGAGAGAGUUCAGUAGCUUUGGUUCUGACCUCCAGCAUGGAUGUAAAGCGGAUUUGAGUCACUGAAGGCGGAAGUUUGCUGGCUGAGAAAGAAUCCAACAGCUCCAAAUUUCCUUUAGCUCCAAUCUAAACUCGCCUCAAGAUGUUCGUCUUUCGCUGAUAUCUAUUCUGACUUGAGCAUUGAGAACGUGUGUUUCAUUGUAGAUCAUUCCAACCAUGGUGGUGAAACCAUGGUUAUCAACAUUAAGGUGCUACUACUGCCACUGGAGUAAAAGUUUGUGCGAGCUUUUGUGUGAGUUCGUGCUCUUGGAUGUUUAUCUAUGGGAGAUUGCCCCCUUUGUUUGCUCAAUCUAUUCUCUUUUCUCUUGGCUCUCCAGAAAUUAUGGCUCCUACUCGAAAGCUUGUGCUUGCAUCGCUCCUCUCAUGCCUGGUCAUCACUGCGGCUUUUGCUGCUGCAGUUUUGUUUAGUUCUUUCUCCAAAAUCUCGAUAGUUUCUGUGUCCACACCAGCGACGACCAUGGCGAUCCAUCAGCAAACUACAGUGCUCAAUAGUAUAACUCUCUGUGUGUUUUUCAUGACGUUUUUUCUGUGGAUCUUAGCCUUCCUUUACACGGCUAGGCCAUGUUUUGUUCUUUGAAGUUAAGCUUGACUCGAGAAAAUAAAGUGGUCAAGAAAUGGAUGAUCUUGCUCGCCGGGUCUACUCUGCUGGAUUUGUCACAGUCUUCGCUGGUUGUGAAUUUCGAGUCGGAGGACACGUUCAUUGACCCUGAAGGCAGCGCUCGCGGCAGUGGAAGCGUAUACAAUUUCUAGAUUUUGAAAAGCGCUGUUUUCUGCUAGAUUCCAAGUGGCUUGCAGGUUGGUGGUGGUAUAAACUCGGGGAACGCGAAGUCCUAUCUCGAUACUGGAGCAAGUCAUGUGUUGUCACCUCGGUAAGUGUUUUAUAUCAGUCUUGGAAUUUAACUCUUAACAUUGUGUGUGUGUGAGAUUAAGUUUUGCUCUGGCAUUCUCUCGAGAGCGAGGAGUGCAAUGCGAUCGUCUGGAUGGCAAUGGUGCCGGAUUUCGCUCACAAGGGACUCCUCUUGGAAACUCGAGUUUGGUGCCCGGAAGAGGCUCAUUGCUUCUUGGAGGUGGCCAAUUCCAGAGAUAGGCCGAGAGGAGCACUGUGCGCGCCAUCUUGCUCUUGUAAGGCAUUCGAUCGUAAAUAAACUUUGCAUUUUCAAGAUGGUUUCUAGAGGUGAGCAUAUGGAUCAUUGUUGCCCAAGAGAUGAGCCAUCUUUAGGAAGGAAUCUAGUGCCUCGUCCAAAUGCCCAUUCGAGGCAUAUGCGCCAAGCAUGGAGUUCCAAGCCACCACGUGCCUCUCAAACAAACAUUUAGCCUCCUCCAAGCAGCCAUGAGGUGCAUAGCCGUCGAUCAUAGCCGUAAAUGCCACCUCAUUAAGAUCCGGGGCAUCUUCAAAGAGAUUCUUUGCUUGCCCCAUAUGCCCGGCCUGGUGAUCAUGGUCGUCCAUGUUACUAGGGCAUUCUAUCAAAGAGAUCUUUAGCUUCAUCCAGCCGCUGGUUCUGGCAGUGGCCUUGGAUCAUGGCCGUCCACGGCGCGUGAGAGAUGCCCGUUAUGGGCCAUGGCCGUGCUAGAAACGGGGGUUUGCUCCGGCAUGGAGUGGAAUACCGCCUCCGCCUCGCCGAGAUUGCCACUCGGCGAGUACAUCUCGAUCAUCGCGUUCCAGGUGAUGGAAUUCUUUGCAGGGAUGCGAUCGAAGAGCUGCUUGGCGCGCUGCACGUCCCCGGCCGCGGCUUCAGGUCGUGGUUGCGAAUGUAGGCCUGGAGGGUGAGAUUCCAAGAGAAGAGAUUGGGAUCCGAGGUAGAAUCGAAGACCGAUCGCGCUUCCUCCAGGCAGCCGCAGCGGCCAUACAUCUGGACGAGGAGAUUUCGCAGGAAGACGCUGUUGUUGUGGUCGCUGUGAAGGAUCUGGGCGAUGGAUCCGGCGGCCAUUGUCGCAAGAUGUGACGAGGGCGGCAAGCUCUUAUGCGCAUCGCAUCAUGGCCGUUGGAUGAUGGGGACGUCCGAGGUUCAAGUCCUGGCAGGUUCUAGCUUCCCGAUGUUUUUCACGGCAUCCCCCAUCGCUCAGCUGCACUCCAAAUGCCGGGCGCGCUCGUCAACGACAGAAUUAACUUCCUGGACACAAGUGGAAGAGAGCAGGCUGGUUUUCCGGGCGAUGGAUCAAAAGGAUAUCAUCUCCUAAUGUCUUGCGCAGCUUACGUUUGGGUUGAGCGUCUCAGCGGCAGUGCAAGAUCUAUCCUAUCCGCACUUUCCAAAAGGACAGCACUAUCCAUACUUAUGGAAGCAUCGUCUACGUGAAAUGCACAUCUACUAUACGAUCUACAUCUCGGACGACUGUCCUAAGUCCAUCUACCGGUGGCCAUAGAGACUGGAACCCUCCAAAUACGCUGCGUUCUAGCUGAUAGUCGUCAGCUGCUCUAUACCGAUGGCUUUCCAGUAAGAAACGUGUUUAACCGUGUUAUAUGCGCUUGCUUCAAUGGAGCGUUCAACACCGCUCAAACAGGAGGCUUGGACAUGCGAGUGAUAGUAAGCAAGAUAAGCAGGGUCUGACCUGAGGUUCUGCUCCGCCUCCACCACAUCCAGCAGCUGAUGAUAUCUCCAGAGGAUCUCAAGGUUUCUAAGCAAUGCACGGCGUUAUUGCUUUCUACAAAGACACCACGAGAGUCCUUGUUAACACUCUUGGAUUUCAAAGUUAUGGAGGCACACGCUCCAUACGUCUGGGUGGGAUGUUUUCUCAGAAAUCCUGGAGGUCUCGAGUUUUCUUGACUUUUAGUUUUAGGGAAGGUCAGGUAUGGACGUCCAUGAGCAAGAUGAGAUUGCAGUUUCGCAAUGGUUUCAAGACGCAUGAGCCGCAGGUCUUCGAGAUCAUAACCUUUCCAAAGUUUGGCAUUGGACAGCGUGCGUUUCUCAUCCAGACUCAAGAGGGAAACAUACUGUGGGACUGCAUCUCAUUUCUAGACGAUGCCACAGUGGCGAUAAUCAAGUCACUAGGUGGAUUGAGAGCGAUUGCCAUUUCUCACCCGUAUUACUA